GGGAGGCAGCAGUGGGGAAUAUUGGUCAAUGGGCGAGAGCCUGAACCAGCCAAGUCGCGUGAAGGAAGAAGGAUCUAUGGUUCGUAAACUUCUUUUAGGGGAAUAAAGUGCGGUACGUGUACCGUUUUGUAUGUACCCUACGAAUAAGGAUCGGCUAACUCCGUGCCAGCAGCCGCGGUAAUA
rnacentral:rRNA from 1 species